rnacentral:rRNA from 1 species
CCUACGGGAGGCUGCAGUGAGGAAUAUUGGUCAAUGGGCGCGAGCCUGAACCAGCCAAGUAGCGUGAAGGAUGACUGCCCUACGGGUUGUCAACUUCUUUUAUAAAGGAAUAAAGUGAGGCACGUAUGCCUUUUUGUAUGUACUUUAUGACUAAGGAUCGGCUAACUCCGGGCCAGCAGCCGCGGUAAUACGGAGGAUCCGAGCGUUAUCCGGAUUUAUUUGGUUUAAAGUGAGCGUAGAUGGGUGGUUAAGUCAGUUGUGAAAGUUUGCGGCUCAACCGUAAAAUGGCAAUUGAUACUGGCAGUCUUGAGUACAGUUGAGGUAGGCGGAAUUCGUGGUGUAGCGGUGAAAUGCUUAGAUAUCACGAAGAACUCCGAUUGCGAAGGCAGCUUACUAAACUGCCACUGACAUUGAUGCUCGAAAGUGUGGGUAUCAAACAGGAUUAGAUACCCGAGUAGUC